rnacentral:rRNA from 1 species
AAACUUAAAUGAAUUGACGGGGACCCGCACAAGCGGUGGAUGAUGUGGAUUAAUUCGAUGCAACGCGAAAACCUUACCUACCCUUGACAUGUCCAGAAGCCUGAAGAGAUUUGGGUGUGCUCGAAAGAGAACUGGAACACAGGUGCUGCAUGGCUGUCGUCAGCUCGUGUCGUGAGAUGUUGGGUUAAGUCCCGCAACGAGCGCAACCCUUGUCAUUAGUUGCCAUCAUUUAGUUGGGCACUCUAAUGAGACUGCCGGUGACAAACCGGAGGAAGGUGGGGAUGACGUCAAGUCCUCAUGGCCCUUAUGGGUAGGGCUUCACACGUCAUACAAUGGUCGGUACAGAGGGUUGCCAAGCCGCGAGGUGGAGCCAAUCCCAGAAAGCCGAUCGUAGUCCGGAUCGUAGUCUGCAACUCGACUACGUGAAGUCGGAAUCGCUAGUAAUCGCGGAUCAGCAUGUCGCGGUGAAUACGUUCCCGGGUCUUGUACACACCGCCCGUCACACCAUGGGAGUGGGUUCUACCAGAAGUAGUUAGCCUAACCGCAAGGAGGGCGAUUACCACGGUAGGGUUCAUGACUGGGGU